CACUGGCACAGCUUCCCGGGUUGAUGCCAACACCACCCAUGAGCGGGGGCAGGCAGGUCCAUGCCCAGAGCCAAAUGCAGUUUUGUCCUGUGUAACACACUUUCUGGAAGGUUACGCUUCUAACAAUAGUGCUUCACCAGUCUUCCACAUGUAACUGUGAUACAAUCAGAGCUGCAAGGCCCUCAGCGUUGUGCUACCGUGGAUCUUCACAGGGACAAAGCAGCCCUCUGCAGCUCUCCAGCAGACGAGAAGCAGACCCUUGGGAGUCUGGAAGCUGGAGGCGGGGGCCCUUGAAUCAGGGAACCAAGAAUGAGAAAAGUGUGUCUUACGCCAAGGACCACGGCAGCAGAGGAGGAUGCAGCCCAGACAACUCACUGGUGGCCCAGGACGCACGGAGUGGACCCGAGGCGUUGUGAGGGUUGAGGACCACAGCUGUGGGGGACCCCUGCCGUCUCUAUGUCCUUGGCACUGGUGGCGAGGGUGCAGGGCCAGCCCGCUGGGUGCUGCCUGGCCUAAGCAUCUCCCUCUGCAUUACAUUUCCCGCGCAGCACCCUCUCAUCCUCGGUUUCACGCUGCGCCUCACUUCUGGUGCCCUGAGACUCCGAAAUCUCCACCCCGCUGGAAUGCACAACUCAGUGCCCACUGUGUGCAAAGAAACCCUGAGGACUUUAGACUGAGCAGCAUUUCAGAAACAUCACUGUGCUGAGGACUAAAGAAAAGUCAGCAAUCACAGAAAUUGCCACAUGCAUUUGGAAUGAUGAAAAUAAAGAGAAAAGGCAGAUACAUGGGAAAUAGGAAUGUUUCAUGGUUGUCUUUGUUGAGGGGAUUGCUAGACAGGAAAGAGACUACACCACAUUCUAUCAUAUUUAAUAGAACAGGUGGCACAAAUAUUAUAAAAAACAGAUUUUUUAAAGCCCAUGUAAGAGGAAUUUCAGAAAUUACAGCUGUUCAGAACUCGCACACAUUUUUCCAUAAUAAUAAAUUCCUCUUCGCUAGCUGUGUAGGACACAAAUAGAAGGGGGAGGCAUCAGUGAUGCUUUAGUAAACUAUCUGAACUGCUGGCGCUGUUGGCAAGGAUUUCCAAGUAGCUUUCUCUUUCUUUCAAAGAGUUCUCCUGAAGUAGGUCACCAAAAAUAUUUUCAAGAGAGGGAAAACAGUACCAUAGAAACACAAAACUUUCAGCUUCUCUCAAAGAGCCACAAAAGCUUCACAUCUCAAUAAGCAUUUUGAAAAAUACCAGCCCUAUGGUUGAAGUAAGAUUUCCAGAGAACCUCAUUUAAUUAGAAUAUUGGGAUCAGCUGCUUUGUUUUUCAAGAAUAACAGAGAUGUACUCUCCUUCUCUCUCAUCAUAGUAUUCCAGAAUUUGUCCCAAGAGGGGCUGUUUACAAAAAUUAGCAUAUUUGCUUUUCUAGCCCUGUAAAUUGGCAUGCCUCGGUAGUGGCUCAAAGAUAUUCUAGGCUUCCAAAAGCCUCUCUGGUGCUCAUGAGAAUGACUCAAGCUGAAUACAUUUUUUGUUCACACAAGGUUGUUGCUAAGCAGAAACUUUGGUAUAUCAGAUUAUGUAAUGCUUCUUGUUCCUUUCCCUGGGAAGCACCCCAAUUUUCGUGAAGUUAGCAAACCCAAACUCAGCCAAAGCAUGCUUUGUGCUUCCUUCUUGACACUGGGUAGAAGGGCAGUCUGUGAGACGAAUAAAGGAGUCAUUGCAACUGACAUUAGAAUACUGAGCCUAAAUAAAAAUCCUCUAAAAAUAAGUAGUUUAAACCAUGAUGUGUUAAUGGUGCCAGUUUAAGGAAGGCAUUCUUCAGAAGUACUUGGACUGUAUUCACCAGUAGUUUAGGUACUGAAAAAAAUUCAUGUUUCAGAACUUACAAGAGUUAGAAAUGGUAUCUCAAACAAGGCUCUUCAACCGCCACUAUGCUGACUUAGCUACAGAUGGCGGUCCUUUGAAUUCUGCGACAUGGGUGAUGUCAUAUGCAUUUGAGUCUGUAUGGCCACGCCUGCUUGGUCUUGAGUCUGGAAGUGACCCCUGAGGGUGGAGUUACUUUACCCCUGAGAGGUCCUAGGUCCUCUCCUAACUGGUCCCCGGGGCCAGAGCAGCAGUGGUAGAGGUAUAGACACUGCUCUUCCUUUUUAUUGGUGUUCUUUUUUCCCUGCUUGAAAGGUUCUUAGGCUCCCAACUGGACAAGAACAUGUUUCUGUCUUCACUGUGGACUAUAACUUGGUGUUUCUAAUCUGGCAUUUCCCUGUUAUGGAAAGAUUUGUGUGAAUUUCUUGGAAGACAUUUUGAACUCUCUACUUUUAAUCACUGAUGUAUUUUUCAGUUUCCUGAAGCAUGUGUUUUUUAUCUUCCCUUGUCAUAAAUUAUUUUAAUAUUGUCAUUUUUUGCCUGUGUUUUUCUCAUGAGCAUACAUUUUGAGAACUCUGCAAACAUUAAUGUCAAAACUAAAUUAAUAUUUUUAUGUCUGUGAACUCACAUUUGUCCAACAAGUUCUUAUCCAAGUUUUCUUAUAUUCUUCAACUUGACAAAAGAUAGUGAGCUGGUUAGUUAAUAUAUUUUUGUGUAUGCUGAGCAUUAGGAUAAGAAUGAGAAUUUUUGCCUAAUAAUAGCAGCCAUUACCACAUCAGCACAUGUUAGAUAGGAUUCAGUGGAUGUAAAACCCAAGAGCAGUAGCAACUCCUGGAUGCUUUCAAAUUUACGGCAGAUAACCCAGACAGAACCCUCCAGAACAUAAGAAACAGUCUGAAAUGAAUUAAAAUCUAGGACUUUCUGAAUUUGGAAGGUUAAUGUAGGACAUGAGCCUUCUCUAGUUUGGAAUCUUUACAGCUCUGCUUUAUAGGAGCUAGAAUGGAUAGGUGUAGUCAAAUUAAUCUUUUAAUGAGUCAGUCUACCUUGGACUGAAUGUGGGGAGAAAGACUGAUUUGCUGCAAAAUGUACAAACCGAAUAGAGAUAGUUCUAGUGUAUCUUUCCUGUUUUUUUUUUUUUUUUUUUUGGUCUGGUCUGAGUUUGAACUUGACCAGCAAAUGACUGAUCUUUGAAUUGUCAAAAUAUUCUCCACCAAGACAGACUUUGGGCUUUAUCUCAAGACUCUGUCUGGGUGAUGAGAUAUUUGUAAGGGGCUUCACUUUUGUGCUGGGAAUUGAACCCAUGGCCUGUGGACACAAGACAAAUGCUCUACCACUGGGCUACAUUCCCAGCCCAUGGCGCCAUCUUGAAUAGGAAAAUUGGUGAUAUCAAAGUCUCUUGUAAGAAAUAGAUAUUCAUCUUACUCUUUAUACAAAUAUUGUUUUCCAGCUUAUAAGAAAUACAGAAAAGUUGGCUCUUCUCUAAAUCCUAUUCUUGAAAUCUUACUAAAUAUAGGGUUAUUUUCUUUUCUCUGUAAAGAACAAAGAAUAAUUUUAGUAUAAAUUAUAACAAGAAGCCAGUAUUUCAUUUAAAGUGGAAUGACAGAUACAGAAUUUAAAAUUUUGAAAAAUUAGAAUUGAUUUUUUCAUUUUCUAUUUUUGACUUCCUCAAUGAUUAAAAGUCAUAUAAUUAAACAAUUUUUAGCUUUUUUCUUCUUUCCCCACUUUUGGAUUAAAGAUGCUGAUCCAGUUUUUUAUUUUCUAAUUCUGAAUUUUCCUAUGUACAGAUCCAAGGCCUUAGUACAAAAAUUUUUUUUAAAUGUUAAGUAAAAACGAGUUGAAGACCAUCUUGUCUUGUUCCAUUAUAGAAGAACCACAAAAUAUGACACUUGGUAAGAUUUGACUUUCCAUAUAAUUUUCUAUGCAAGGAUACAAUUUCUUUAUAAUUUGUUAUUUUCUGAGCCAAUUUUUUAUUAGCAAAAUAUCUAUUUGACAAUAAUAUCUUUGUCCCUUUGAAAAAUGUGGAAAAAAUGUAGCCACAUUUCAAUUAUCAGUAGAUUAGCCCAUAAUAUAUAGUCAAUGGCUGAUGAGUCUGCAUUUUGGUUUCUCUUUGACUCACCUUCUCUUUGUUCAACUGAGAGAACCACCAGGUGUGGGGAAAUGUGGUAGGUGGUGAGGGACACACAGACAGAAAGAGGAAAAAAUAUCAAUGUCGAGGACAAUGGGUGACAGUUACAUGAAUUCCUCACGCUGUGAUUUACUACCUCAGGAAAUGCUGGCUUCUGAAUUUUUCCUUUCUUUGUGAAAUUUAUCAGGAGGGAACAGGAUAUUAUUGGGCCAAGUACAUAAAAAAAUGAGGUAAAACAGAAACUCAUGAGACAAACAAAUGCAUUUUCUGUAUGAGGCAGCAAAGGAGGCUGGGUCCUCUGACCUUGUCCAUGUUACUGUCCAUUGUUUCCCCUGGGGAGGUUUUUUUUCAAGAAACACUGAAAUUCUUUCCUCUGGAUUCCUCUGUAUGUAUCAAAAAUUUUCAGUAGUUUCUAAGAAUUAUCACUAUCAAUAAGAUCUGAAGAUUGGAAACUGCAUUUGAGUUGCUAUGAUGGAAAUUUGAAAAGUACAAUGAUUUUCACAAAUGCAAAUUAUUGCAUUUUCAUUGUAUUAUAAAUAAUGAAAAACUUUUUUUUAUAAUUUUACCUAAAAUAAAUUGCUUAUUUUUA